UAGAUCUCCACUGUGAAUUUUGCAGAUAAGAAUAUACAUUGAGGAAUUAAUUUACUAUAAAUUGAUACCCUAUACUUAUAUAAAUCUUGAGAGAGAUGUGAAAUUUUGCAGGAUUAGAACUCCUUUUUGUCUCUGUGCAUUUUGAACCGUGUUCUAGUUAUUUGUUGUUUUGGCAUAAGGAACUUGAAUUUAAGUCCAACACCUGAGAAAUGAAAGAGCAGUGCUUCUAUUGGAUCAAAUACAUCACUAUUACUAUUAAUACUUGUUUUUUUCUUUAAGUUUAUGUUAAGAAUUCUUGUGCUGUUUCUGGAAGUAGGGUUCAUCAUUUAUAAGGAACUUGAAUUUAAGUCCAAUACUUGAGAAAUGAAAGAGCAGUGCCUCUAUUGGAUCAAAUACAUCACUAUUACUAUUAGUACUUGCUUUUAAGUUUCUGUUGAGAAUUCUUGUGCUGUUUCUGGAAGCUAUGUUACGCAGACUCUUCACCCGUGUCGGAUCCUUCAAAAUUACAUUUACUUUUAAAGGAUUCGACAUAUACCCGACAAUAUUUCUGGAAAGUCCGAGCAACAUAGUCUGGAAGCAAAGUUCAUCAUUGCAUUUGAAUUUCAUGAUGCUUCUUUUGGUGUAGCCUCUAUUAGGUUUAGUUGACCAAUUCUUCUCCCUAGACUUCUUCCUAUCCUAUACUAUACUAUAUUAUCUUGUGAAAGAGAUUCCUUUGAUUUGAAGAAAUAUGCGGAAAACCUUUUUCCCUUUAAGACAUUAGAACAGGAAUGCCUUCUAAGAUUAGGCAAGACCAAAGUCACCAAACAAUAGCUUUUG
rnacentral:lncRNA from 1 species